rnacentral:rRNA from 1 species
UCGCCCGGGAACUACGAGCUAAGCUUAAAACCCAAAGGACUUGACGGUACCCCAAAUCCACCUAGAGGAGCCUGUCCUAUAAUCGAUAAUCCCCGUUUAACCUCACCACUUCUUGUUAAUCAGCCUGUAUACCUCCGUCGCCAGCUUACCGCGUGAGCGUCAUAAGUGAGCUUAAUGCCCAUACGCCAACACGUCAGGUCAAGGUGCAGCUAAUGAAGUGGGAAGAGAUGGGCUACACUCUCUAACAUAGAAAAAACGAAAGACUACCUAUGAAAUCUAGUCAGAAGGAGGAUUUAGUAGUAAAAAGAAAGCAGAGCAUUCUUUUUAAUUCGGCACUGGGGU